rnacentral:rRNA from 1 species
GACGAACGCUGGCGGCGUGCCUAAUACAUGCAAGUCGAGCGGAGUUUAUCCUUCGGGGUAAGCUUAGCGGCGGACGGGUGAGUAACACGUAGGCAACCUGCCCCUUAGCCUGGGAUAACUACCGGAAACGGUAGCUAAUACCGGAUAAUCCCUUUCCUCGCCUGAGGGAAGGAUAAAAGGCGGAGCAAUCUGCUGAUAAGGGAUGGGCCUGCGGCGCAUUAGCUAGUUGGUGGGGUAACGGCUCACCAAGGCGACGAUGCGUAGCCGACCUGAGAGGGUGAACGGCCACACUGGGACUGAGACACGGCCCAGACUCCUACGGGAGGCAGCAGUAGGGAAUCUUCCGCAAUGGGCGAAAGCCUGACGGAGCAACGCCGCGUGAGUGAUGAAAGGUUUUCGGAUCGUAAAAGCUC